AACCCCUCGUGCCCUGCUGAGGCCAAGGAGAAGGACAAACUCCCCCAGGAGCCCACUUCUGUGCCGCCCGCUCCCCCCUUGGAUGCCUCUGGGCUGCCCAUGUGUGCUGUGGAGCGUUACGCGAUGGACAACAUUGAGGCCUUUCUCCGGAGCACAGAGCCUCAGAAUGAGGAGAAGAAGAUGAAGUUCCUGUGCAGCAUCCGCACCAUCUGCGGCUCCGCAGCAGAGAGGAACACGGUGCAGGAACUGCGCAUCUUCUGCCGCCGGAACGAACUUGUGGAGAACAUCAUGGUGCUGCUGGCAGAGGAGC